rnacentral:rRNA from 1 species
UACGUAGGGUGCAAGCGUUGUCCGGAAUUAUUGGGCGUAAAGAGCUCGUAGGCGGUCUGUUGCGUCGGCUGUGAAAACCUAAGGCUCAACCUUGGGCUUGCAGUGGGUACGGGCAGACUAGAGUGCGGUAGGGGAGACUGGAAUUCCUGGUGUAGCGGUGAAAUGCGCAGAUAUCAGGAGGAACACCGGUGGCGAAGGCGGGUCUCUGGGCCGUAACUGACGCUGAGGAGCGAAAGCAUGGGGAGCGAACAGG